CGACCUCAGAUCAGACGAGAUUACCCGCUAAAUUUAAGCAUAUCAAUAAGCGGUGGAAAAGAAACGAAAACGAAUUCUCCAAGUAGCGGCGAGCGAAACGAGAAAAGUCCAUACACCGAAGUCGGCGAGCAGUUGUGUUCGUCAACAGUGUGGUGUUAAAGGUGUCGUUGCAUGUGCUGAAAUCAGUUCGUAGGCUCCCUUGAUUGGGGCUUCAGAGCGGGUGCAGGACCCAUAACGAACGAUGUUUUGUGCAUGGUGUCGCGGCUCCUAAUCGAGUCGGGUUGCUUGAGACUGCAGCCCAAAGCGGGUGGUAAAUCUCACCCAAGACUAAAUAUUCGUACGAGACCGAUAGCGAACAAGUACCGCGAGGGAAAGUUGAAAGAACUCUGAAGAGAGAGUUCAACAGGACGUGAAACCGUUGACAGGCAACGGAUGGAGCUGACGGUGCAAUUUUGACCAAAUCAG
rnacentral:ncRNA from 1 species